CGACCGGCGCACGGGUGAGUAACGCGUAUCCAACCUUCCCAUUACUGUGGGAUAACCUGCCGAAAGGCAGACUAAUACCACAUAGUCUUCGAUGACGGCAUCAGAUUUGAAGUAAAGAUUUAUCGGUAAUGGAUGGGGAUGCGUCUGAUUAGCUUGUUGGUGGGGUAACGGCCCACCAAGGCGACGAUCAGUAGGGGUUCUGAGAGGAAGGUCCCCCACAUUGGAACUGAGACACGGUCCAAACUCCUACGGGAGGCAGCAGAA
rnacentral:rRNA from 1 species